ACAUGCCUAUAAAAUAUCACUAAUGUAUCAAAUCCCAUUAGAACUCUACAAUUAAGUGUGCUCGGGCUAGAGUAGUACUAGGAUGGGUGACCACCUAGGAAUUCCUAGUGUUUUACAUGCC
rnacentral:rRNA from 1 species